CGUCCAUAUCACGUUGAAACACCGGUUCUCUUACGAUCCAUGAAAUUAAGCAGUCGAGCCUGGUCACUACCUAAAUGGGUGACCGAUUGGGAAUAUCAGGCGCUGUAA